UGAACGCUGGCGGCAGGCCUAACACAUCAAUCGAGCGGAUGAUGGGAGCUUGCUCCCGGAUUCAGCGGCGGACGGGUGAGUAAUGCCUAGGAAUCUGCCUGGUAGUGGGGGACAACGUUUCGAAAGGAACGCUAAUACCGCAUACGUCCUACGGGAGAAAGCAGGGGACCUUCGGGCCUUGCGCUAUCAGAUGAGCCUAGGUCGGAUUAGCUAGUUGGUGGGGUAAAGGCCUACCAAGGCGACGAUCCGUAACUGGUCUGAGAGGAUGAUCAGUCACACUGGAACUGAGACACGGUCCAGACUCCUACGGGAGGCAGCAGUGGGGAAUAUUGGACAAUGGGCGAAAGCCUGAUCCAGCCAUGCCGCGUGUGUGAAGAAGGUCUUCGGAUUGUAAAGCACUUUAAGUUGGGAGGAAGGGCAGUAAGUUAAUACCUUGCUGUUUAGACGUUACCAACAGAAUAAGCACCGCAAC
rnacentral:rRNA from 1 species